GAAUGUGAGGGCAGUCUGGCCAUGGUAUUUGUCACCCCACUGAUCACCAGGUUCAUUCAACUGAUCUGGAUGGCUAGCCAGGAGUCACCUUCCUUCCUCACUGCUCCAUGUGUGUCCCUCCCAAAUUGAGCACUUGAUUGUAGAGCACAGCCACCCUCUAUAGAGAACAACCAUUUCCUCAGUCAAAGGUAUAGAGUGGGUGUGGUCCCUGACCAGUACCUCCAAAAAAGCUCUCAAGAGAGGAGAAGUAAUAUCAGGAACACAAAUGAUAUCAGACUUUUCCACAUCAAUAAAUAU
rnacentral:snRNA from 1 species